rnacentral:rRNA from 1 species
CCUACGGGUGGCUGCAGUGGGGGAUAUUGCACAAUGGGGGGAACCCUGAUGCAGCGACGCCGCGUGGGUGAAGGAGCGUUUCGGCGCGUAAAGCCCUAUCGGCAGGGAAGAAGAUGACGGUACCUGGCCAAGAAGCCCCGGCUAACUACGUGCCAGCAGCCGCGGUAAUACGUAGGGGGCAAGCGUUAUCCGGAUUUACUGGGUGUAAAGGGGGCGCAGACGGCAAUGCAAGCCAGGAGUGAAAGCCCGGGGCCCAACCCCGGGACUGCCCUUGAAACUGGAUGGCUGGAGUGCGGGAGGGGCAGGCGGAAUUCCUGGUGUAGCGGUGAAAUGCGUAGAUAUCAGGAGGAACACCGGCGGCGAAGGCGGCCUGCUGGACCGCGACUGACGUUGAGGCUCGAAAGCGUGGGGAGCGAACAGGAUUAGAUACCCGGGUAGUC